UACGUAGGGUGCAAGCGUUAUCCGGAAUCACUGGGCGUAAAGGGUGCGUAGGCGGGUCUUUAAGUCAGGGGUGAAAUCCUGGAGCUCAACUCCAGAACUGCCUUUGAUACUGAGGAUCUUGAGUUCGGGAGAGGUGAGUGGAACUGCGAGUGUAGAGGUGAAAUUCGUAGAUAUUCGCAAGAACACCAGUGGCGAAGGCGGCUCACUGGCCCGAUACUGACGCUGAGACGCGAAAGCGUGGGGAGCGAACAGG
rnacentral:rRNA from 1 species